rnacentral:rRNA from 1 species
UACGUAGGGGGCAAGCGUUAUCCGGAUUUAUUGGGUUUAAAGGGUGCGUAGGCUGUGAGGUAAGUCAGCGGUGAAAUGCCCCCGCUCAACGGGGUGAAGUGCCAUUGAUACUGCCUUGCUGGAAUGCGGAUGCCGUGGGAGGAAUGUGUGGUGUAGCGGUGAAAUGCAUAGAUAUCACACAGAACACCGAUUGCGAAGGCAUCUCACGAAUCCGCGAUUGACGCUGAUGCACGAAAGCGUGGGUAUCAAACAGG